rnacentral:rRNA from 1 species
GACGAACCGUGCGAACGUUGUUCGGAAUCACUGGGCUUAAAGGGCGCGUAGGCGGGCCGGACGGUCCGGGGUGAAAUCCCCCCGCUCAACGGGGGAACGGCCUCGGACACCGCCGGCCUCGAGGAAGGUAGGGGCAAGCGGAACGCUGGGUGGAGCGGUGAAAUGCGUUGAUAUCCAGCGGAACUCCGGUGGCGAAGGCGGCUUGCUGGACCUUUUCUGACGCUGAGGCGCGAAAGCCAGGGGAGC